UACGGAGGUGGCAAGCGUUGCUCGGAAUCACUGGGCGUAAAGGGCGCGUAGGCGGGGAGGUAAGUCGGGUGUGAAAUCCCUCGGCCCAACCGAGGAACUGCGCCCGAGACUGCUUCUCUUGAGUCUCGGAGAGGAAGGUGGAAUUCCCGGUGUAGCGGUGAGAUGUGUAGAGAUCGGGAGGAACACCGGUGGCGAAGGCGGCCUUCUGGACGGUGACUGACGCUGAGGCGCGAAAGCGUGGGGAGCAAACAGG
rnacentral:rRNA from 1 species